UACGUAGGGUGCAAGCGUUGUCCGGAAUUAUUGGGCGUAAAGAGCUCGUAGGCGGUUUGUCGCGUCUGCUGUGAAAACUCGGGGCUUAACCCCGGGCCUGCAGUGGGUACGGGCAGACUAGAGUGCGGUAGGGGAGACUGGAAUUCCUGGUGUAGCGGUGAAAUGCGCAGAUAUCAGGAGGAACACCGGUGGCGAAGGCGGGUCUCUGGGCAUUAACUGACGCUGAGGAGCGAAGGCAUGGGGAGCGAACAGG
rnacentral:rRNA from 1 species